rnacentral:rRNA from 1 species
GACGGGACCCGCACAAGCAGCGGAGCGUGUGGUUUAAUUCGUUGCUACACGAAGAACCUUACCUGGGUUUGACAUAUAGGUUGUAGGGAACUGAAAGGGACCGACCCUUCGGGGAGCCUAUACAGGUGUUGCAUGGCUGUCGUCAGCUCGUGUCGUGAGAUGUUCGGUUAAGUCCGCUAACGAGCGCAACCCUCGUCGUAUGUUAUAUGUGUCAUACGAGACUGCCGGUAAAAGCCGGAGGAAGGUGAGGAUGAUGUCAAGUCAGCAUGACCUUUAUAUCCAGGGCUACACACACGCUACAAUGGUCUGUACAAUGGGUAGCCAAGCCGCGAGGCGGAGCCAAUCCUGAAAGCAGGCCUCAGUUCAGAUUGCAGUCUGCAACUCGACUGCAUGAAGCCGGAGUUGCUAGUAACCGCAGGUCAGCAAUACUGCGGUGAAUACGUUCCCGGGUCUU